AUACGGAGGGGGCAAGCGUUGUUCGGAAUUAUUGGGCGUAAAGGGCGCGUAGGCGGCACUGUAAGUCGGUUGUGAAAUCCCUUGGCUCAACCAAUGAACUGCAACCGAAACUACAGAGCUAGAGUCCGGGAGAGGGUAGUGGAAUUCCCAGUGUAGCGGUGAAAUGCGUAGAUAUUGGGAGGAACACCAGUGGCGAAGGCGGCUACCUGGACCGGUACUGACGCUGAGGCGCGAAAGCUAGGGGAGCAAACAGGAUUAGAAACCCCGGUAGUCC
rnacentral:rRNA from 1 species